rnacentral:rRNA from 1 species
AUUGAACGCUGGCGGCAGGCCUAACACAUGCAAGUCGAACGGUAACAGGAAGCAGCUUGCUGCUUCGCUGACGAGUGGCGGACGGGUGAGUAAUGUCUGGGAAACUGCCUGAUGGAGGGGGAUAACUACUGGAACCGGUAGCUAAUACCGCAUAACGUCGCAAGACCAAAGAGGGGGACCUUAGGGCCUCUUGCCAUCGGAUGUGCCCAGAUGGGAUUAGCUAGUAGGUGGGGUAACGGCUCACCUAGGCGACGAUCCCUAGCUGGUCUGAGAGGAUGACCAGCCACACUGGAACUGAGACACGGUCCAGACUCCUACGGGAGGCAGCAGUGGGGAAUAUUGCACAAUGGGCGCAAGCCUGAUGCAGCCAUGCCGCGUGUAUGAAGAAGGCCUUCGGGUUGUAAAGUACUUUCAGCGGGGAGGAAGGGAGUAAAGUUAAUACCUUUGCUCAUUGACGUUACCCGCAGAAGAAGCACCGGCUAACUCCGUG